AAUGGGUCGGUGCCAGAUCCCCAAAAUGACUUACAAACACAACAGCAAGAACACAGGGUUCCCUGCUGCUUAGCACUCUAGACAUAAUGAGUGUGUUUCAUGGGAUGAGGAGGAAGAAGGCAGAGCAAAGAGACUGUCCAGUUUGACCAAUGUACAUGGCAGAGGGGCAUUGCUGGCACAUGAUGGCAUAAAGAACCUACAUACAUGCUAAAAAGUUUGCCACAGAGGUCACCCCACCUCCAAUUCUGGGUUCUGUUAUCAUCAGGAAGACCAAAACACAAUUGGAGUUGCAGCCAACAAGGGAUGUGAAGGGUAACAAGAAGGGUUUCUACAGGUAGCCAAGCAAAGUAUAGGGGAAACUGAGGCAUACAUAUACAUCACAAAAAAUAUUAUGAAAAAUUCCCACAUUGCCACCGACACAUGGAAGAGGCAUAGAGGGUACUGCAGCACCCAGGCAUGUGUGGGAGGCCCCAGAGACAAGAGACGCACCCCCUUCCCGAAGACCGAGUGCAAGGUGGAGGACAACUCUAGACCUGGUAGUGGAAAACAGGGACAUUGAGAAUCGUCCUGAAAGGGGAAAAUAUAAGUGAAGUACUAUUUUGACUGUAGUAACAGAGUUUAUGAAUGCACACAGUUGUUUAAAAGUGUUCUGCAGAUGUUAAAAAUAAAAGAUAUUCCUGAGCAAGAGGGACGUGGAGGGGUAUAGCCAAUCACUGGUUCAAUAUUUCAAUGAAAAGAAACAGCUUUUAAAAAAAGACCCAUGCCCGCCCAUGAACCAGACUAUCUCGCAGGCUGCACCCCACUGGCUCUUUGCAGCCAUCGUCAGGAAUUCCUAUCACAUCGCUUGGUGUUACCUCACUCUCAUUCAUAGGGGGUCCGAAUACUUUAAAGAUGUUCCACAAGCAAUAUAUGCACUUUCCUAAAUGGUUACAAUUAACUUA